AGGAAAGCUCAGUUUUGCUUCCGUUUUGUUUCUCCCAAUUUCUUCUGCCCUAUUUUACCCUCCCAACCCGAAAGCCACCUCCACCCUCUCCCUCGCAACAUCAAUCAGAACCACCCCUUACAUUUUCCUUCUUUUGUUCCUGAAGGUAACUACGAUCAAAACUAGAGGAUCGGCCACACCAAAAAUUCCAGGAAAAUCGAAGAGGCCUCAUUGUUUUCCAGCAGGAACUAGAGCUCUGACAAGGUUUUUGAUCUCAAAAUUCUGACAAGGUUGCCUGUAAGUGGGGGUGUUUCUUUAACUUCAAACCUUGCAAAUUGAGUCUCUUGUUUUAACUUUCUUGUUUGGUUCUUGAUUAGGUCUCAAGAUUUCCUUGAUCUCCAUCCUUUCUGGGUAAGAGCUAUUAGCUACCGAUUUGCUCCAGACAUAAAUCGUUGGCAAGCUGAAGCUCUAGUUGCAAUUCAAGAGUGUGUUAUUGCUUCCUAUUGAAGCGGCUUGUUUGAUUGCUUCCUCCACCCACAGUUGAGCGUCUUCUUUUCACACAACCACUAUAAUUAUGUCAGGUGUUUCAGAAUCAAAUGUUUCUUCCCAAGUUUCUCGAGGAACCAAAAAGAAAUGGGUUCCAGAAGAAGAUGCAGCAUUGGUUUCCUGCAGGUGGACUUGCACAAUGUUGGAACUUUUAAUGCUGAUGCUGGGUUCAAAGCUGGUUAUUUAAACGAGUUAGAAAAAAUG